ACUACGGGAGGCAGCAGUGAGGAAUAUUGGUCAAUGGACGAGAGUCUGAACCAGCCAAGUAGCGUGAAGGAUGACUGCCCUCUGGGUUGUAAACUUCUUUUAUAUGGGAAUAAAACAGGGUAUGUAUACCCUCUUGUAUGUACCAUAUGAAUAAGGAUCGGCGAACUCCGUUCCAGCAGCCUCGGUAAUACGGAGGAUCCGAGCGUUAUCCGGAUUUAUUGGGUUUAAAGGGAGCGUAGGUGGAUUGUUAAGUUAGUUGUGAAAGUUUGCGGCUCAACCGUAAAAUUGCAGUUGAAACUGGCAGUCGUGAGUACAGUAGAGGUGAGCGGAAUUCGUGGUGUAGCGGUGAAAUGCUUAGAUAUCACGAAGAACUCCGGUUGCGAAGGCAGCUCACUGGACUGCAACUGACACUGAUGCUCGAAAGUGUGGGUAUCAAACAGGAUUAGAUACCCCAGUAGUC
rnacentral:rRNA from 1 species